AACGCUCCGCACCGGGGAAGGAUGAGAAGCUUCGACUAAGGUUCGAGUCUCACGCAGUGAGACAACGCGCUUUAGCGCGGCCCGCAGG
rnacentral:sRNA from 1 species